CGCCAGACUCCUACGGGAGGCAGCAGUGAGGAAUAUUGGUCAAUGGGCUUACGCCUGAACCAGCCAAGUCGCGUGAGGGAAGACUGCCCUAUGGGUUGUAAACCUCUUUUGUCAGGGAGCAACGCCGGCUACGUGUAGCCGGACUGAGAGUACCUGAAGAAAAAGCAUCGGCUAACUCCGUGCCAGCAGCCGCGGUAAUACGGAGGAUGCGAGCGUUAUCCGGAUUUAUUGGUUUAAAGGGGUGCGCAGGGGGAGAGUAAAGCAGGCGGUAAAAUGUGGGGGCCCAACCCGGGCGAGCCGUUGAAACUGGCUUGCUAGAGUGGGCGAGAAGUAUGCGGAAUGCGUGGUGUAGCGGUGAAAUGCAUAGAUAUCACGCAGAACUCCGAUUGCGAAGGCAGCAUACCGGCGCCCAACUGACGCUCAGGCACGAAAGCGUGGGUAUCGAACAGGAUUAGAUACCCCGGUAU
rnacentral:rRNA from 1 species